UUAAGCAUAUCAAUAAGCGGAGGAAAAGAAACCAACAGGGAUUGCCCUAGUAACGGCGAGUGAAGCGGCAACAGCUCAAAUUUGAAAUCUGGCUCCUUUAGGGUCCGAGUUGUAAUUUGUAGAGGGUGCUUUGGCGUUGGUUGUGGUCUAAGUUCCUUGGAACAGGACGUCACAGAGGGUGAGAAUCCCGUACGUGGCCGCCAGCCUCCGCCGUGUAAAGCCCCUUCGAUGAGUCGAGUUGUUUGGGAAUGCAGCUCUAAAUGGGAGGUAAAUUUCUUCUAAAGCUAAAUAUUUGCCAGAGACCGAUAGCGCACAAGUAGAGUGAUCGAAAGAUGAAAAGCACUUUGGAAAGAGAGUCAAAAAGCACGUGAAAUUGUUGAAAGGGAAGCGCUUGCAGCUAGACGUGCCUUGGGUUGAUCAGCCGGACUUUUGCCCGGUGCACUCUUCCUUUGGCAGGCCAGCAUCAGUUUGGGCGGCUGGAUAAAGGUCUGUUAAACGUGACUUCCUUCGGGGAGAGCUUAUAGGGCAGACGACAUGCAGCCAGCCUGAACUGAGGUCCGCGCAUCUGCUAGGAUGCUGGCGUAAUAGCUGUAAGCGGCCCGUCUUGAAACACGGACCAAGGAGUCUAACAUCUAUGCGAGUGUUUGGGUGUCAAGCCCGAGCGCGUAAUGAAAGUAAACGGAGGUGGGAACCUUUUAGGUGCACCAUCGACCGAUCCUGAUGUCUUCGGAUGGAUUUGAGUAAGAGCAUAGCUGUUGGGACCCGAAAGAUGGUGAACUAUGCCUGAAUAGGGUGAAGCCAGAGGAAACUCUGGUGGAGGCUCGCAGCGGUUCUGACGUGCAAAUCGAUCGUCAAAUUUGGGCAUAGGGGCGAAAGACUAAUCGA
rnacentral:rRNA from 1 species